rnacentral:rRNA from 2 species
AGAGUUUGAUCCUGGCUCAGAUUGAACGCUGGCGGCAGGCCUAACACAUGCAAGUCGAGCGGUAGCACAGAGAGCUUGCUCUCGGGUGACGAGCGGCGGACGGGUGAGUAAUGUCUGGGAAACUGCCUGAUGGAGGGGGAUAACUACUGGAAACGGUAGCUAAUACCGCAUAACGUCGCAAGACCAAAGUGGGGGACCUUCGGGCCUCAUGCCAUCAGAUGUGCCCAGAUGGGAUUAGCUAGUAGGUGGGGUAACGGCUCACCUAGGCGACGAUCCCUAGCUGGUCUGAGAGGAUGACCAGCCACACUGGAACUGAGACACGGUCCAGACUCCUACGGGAGGCAGCAGUGGGGAAUAUUGCACAAUGGGCGCAAGCCUGAUGCAGCCAUGCCGCGUGUGUGAAGAAGGCCUUCGGGUUGUAAAGCACUUUCAGCGGGGAGGAAGGCGGUGAGGUUAAUAACCUCAUCGAUUGACGUUACCCGCAGAAGAAGCACCGGCUAACUCCGUGCCAGCAGCCGCGGUAAUACGGAGGGUGCAAGCGUUAAUCGGAAUUACUGGGCGUAAAGCGCACGCAGGCGGUCUGUCAAGUCGGAUGUGAAAUCCCCGGGCUCAACCUGGGAACUGCAUUCGAAACUGGCAGGCUAGAGUCUUGUAGAGGGGGGUAGAAUUCCAGGUGUAGCGGUGAAAUGCGUAGAGAUCUGGAGGAAUACCGGUGGCGAAGGCGGCCCCCUGGACAAAGACUGACGCUCAGGUGCGAAAGCGUGGGGAGCAAACAGGAUUAGAUACCCUGGUAGUCCACGCUGUAAACGAUGUCGAUUUGGAGGUUGUGCCCUUGAGGCGUGGCUUCCGGAGCUAACGCGUUAAAUCGACCGCCUGGGGAGUACGGCCGCAAGGUUAAAACUCAAAUGAAUUGACGGGGGCCCGCACAAGCGGUGGAGCAUGUGGUUUAAUUCGAUGCAACGCGAAGAACCUUACCUGGUCUUGACAUCCACAGAACUUUCCAGAGAUGGAUUGGUGCCUUCGGGAACUGUGAGACAGGUGCUGCAUGGCUGUCGUCAGCUCGUGUUGUGAAAUGUUGGGUUAAGUCCCGCAACGAGCGCAACCCUUAUCCUUUGUUGCCAGCGGUUAGGCCGGGAACUCAAAGGAGACUGCCAGUGAUAAACUGGAGGAAGGUGGGGAUGACGUCAAGUCAUCAUGGCCCUUACGACCAGGGCUACACACGUGCUACAAUGGCAUAUACAAAGAGAAGCGACCUCGCGAGAGCAAGCGGACCUCAUAAAGUAUGUCGUAGUCCGGAUUGGAGUCUGCAACUCGACUCCAUGAAGUCGGAAUCGCUAGUAAUCGUAGAUCAGAAUGCUACGGUGAAUACGUUCCCGGGCCUUGUACACACCGCCCGUCACACCAUGGGAGUGGGUUGCAAAAGAAGUAGGUAGCUUAACCUUCGGGAGGGCGCUUACCACUUUGUGAUUCAUGACUGGGGUGAAGUCGUAACAAGGUAACC